CCUACGGGUGGCAGCAGUGGGGAAUAUUGCACAAUGGGGGAAACCCUGAUGCAGCAACGCCGCGUGAGUGAAGAAGUAUUUCGGUAUGUAAAGCUCUAUCAGCAGGGAAGAAGAUGACGGUACCUGAGUAAGAAGCCCCGGCUAACUACGUGCCAGCAGCCGCGGUAAUACGUAGGGGGCAAGCGUUAUCCGGAUUUACUGGGUGUAAAGGGAGCGUAGGCGGGUAGUUAAGUCAGUAGUGAAAGUCUGCGGCUCAACCGUAAAAUUGCAGUUGAUACUGGCAUCCUUGAGUACAGUAGAGGUAGGCGGAAGUCGUGGUGUAGCGGUGAAAUGCGUAGAUAUCACGAAGAACUCCGAUGGCGAAGGCAGCUUGCUGGACUGUAACUGACGCUGAGGCUCGAAAGUGUGGGUAUCAAACAGGAUUAGAUACCCUGGUAGUC
rnacentral:rRNA from 1 species